rnacentral:lncRNA from 1 species
CCGUUAAUGCACCACUAACGCCGUUUCUGACAUAAACCUUUUCAACUCGACCGCCGGAGAGAGUCGCCGUAAUGGUUAUUGGGCCCCAUUCGACAUAUAUAGCUGGAGUCGCACGUGGCAUUCUCGUAUCAUAAGCACCCAAAACGAUGCCGUCCCUCUUUUCGUUCCCCUCUGCAGUCAAAACCACAGCUGGAGAUGCCAUCGUCACUGUCGGGAUAUUCCAACUUCAGCCAAAAUUAUUUUUAUUUUUCUCUUCAUUAUCAAUAUUCCAUAUAGAAACUACGCUUUUAGAGUUAUUAUUAUCAUUAUCUGCAACAAAAUUCAAGCCUAAAUCUAAACUAUCCCAAAGCUUUACAACAUUUUUGCCGGAAGUAAAUUCCGACCACGCAAACCGUUCAUCGCCGCUGCUCCACCGCCUACGGUGCCUCAAAUUACCAUUUUGCCGCCCCUUUACACAAAAUUCUUCAUCAAAUUUCUGUUGAUCUGAAAUAGAAGUUGUUUGAAUAUUACCUUCCUCUUCUUCUGAAGAAGAAAUCGAGGAACAAUCAUUGCCUUCAAAUUCAAAAUCUCCAGUGCCAAUAGAAGGGUGUGGAGAACGCUUGAUUACUGAAUAGAAAUGAAACAAAAUGAGCUUGAUUCCCUUGAUUAAGCUUCUAAGAGUUGCAAAAAGUAGAAGAAUUACAGCACCCCAUUUCCAAAAACUGAAAACUUGAGAUACAUUUUCAAUGCCUGAAAGUGAAAAGAAAUGUGAAAUUAAAGUUGGAUUCUGCAGACAUUCGAAAUCAAUUAUCAUUUUCAUCUCUGGGAAAAUUGGACAAGAAUCGAGCUUUUG